GAUGAACGCUAGCUACAGGCUUAACACAUGCAAGUCGAGGGGAAACGAUAGAGAAAGCUUGCUUUUUCUAGGCGUCGACCGGCGCACGGGUGAGUAACGCGUAUCCAACCUGCCCACCACUUGGGGAUAACCUUGCGAAAGUAAGACUAAUACCCAAUGACGUCCAUAGAAGACAUCUGAAAUGGAUUAAAGAUUUAUCGGUGAUGGAUGGGGAUGCGUCUGAUUAGCUUGUUGGCGGGGUAACGGCCCACCAAGGCGACGAUCAGUAGGGGUUCUGAGAGGAAGGUCCCCCACAUUGGAACUGAGACGCGGUCCAAACUCCUACGGGAGGCAGCAGUGAGGAAUAUUGGUCAAUGGGCGAGAGCCUGAACCAGCCAAGUAGCGUGCAGGAUGACGGCCCUAUGGGUUGUAAACUGCCUUUAUAAGGGAAUAAAGUGAGUCUCGUGAGACUUUUUGCAUGUACCUUAUGAAUAAGGACCGGCUAAUUCCGUGCCAGCCGCCGCAGUAA
rnacentral:rRNA from 1 species